AUGGACUCCGUCUGUGUCGAUCUGAAUUGUGCAGGUGAGUUUCGGUUCAUGAUGGCCGGAGAUUGCAAUGGUGUUCUCGCGAUGGUCGUGUAUGGACAACUUUUGUUGCUGACUUUGGGAAAGCCGAUGAUUUCGAUAUCGGACCUCAUUCUUUCUUUGUUUCCUACACAACUAACAAAAAGAUGCAAUCAAUUAUGCAGAUUUAAGUUUUAUUCCUCAUGUUUUGUUUUUCCUACGAACUGCAAAUAA